rnacentral:rRNA from 1 species
GAUGAACGCUGGCGGCGUGCUUAACACAUGCCAGUCGAACGAAGCAUUUAGGACAGAUUACUUCGGUUUGAAGUUCUUUAUGACUGAGUGGCGGACGGGUGAGUAACGCGUGGGUAACCUGCCUUGUACUGGGGGAUAGCAGCUGGAAACGGCUGGUAAUACCGCAUAAGCGCACAAUGUUGCAUGACAUGGUGUGAAAAACUCCGGUGGUAUAAGAUGGACCCGCGUCUGAUUAGCUAGUUGGUGAGAUAACAGCCCACCAAGGCGACGACCAGUAGCCGACCUGAGAGGGUGACCGGCCACAUUGGGACUGAGACACGGCCCAGACUCCUACGGGAGGCAGCAGUGGGGAAUAUUGCACAAUGGAGGAAACUCUGAUGCAGCGACGCCGCGUGAGUGAAGAAGUAAUUCGUUAUGUAAAGCUCUAUCAGCAGGGAAGAUAGUGACGGUACCUGACUAAGAAGCGCCGGCUAAAUACGUG